rnacentral:rRNA from 1 species
GUACAAGCAGUGGGAGCCUCUUUAUGGGGUGACUGCGUACCUUUUGUAUAAUGGGUCAGCGACUUAUAUUCUGUAGCAAGGUUAACCGAAUAGGGGAGCCGAAGGGAAACCGAGUCUUAACUGGGCGUUAAGUUGCAGGGUAUAGACCCGAAACCCGGUGAUCUAGCCAUGGGCAGGUUGAAGGUUGGGUAACACUAACUGGAGGACCGAACCGACUAAUGUUGAAAAAUUAGCGGAUGACUUGUGGCUGGGGGUGAAAGGCCAAUCAAACCGGGAGAUAGCUGGUUCUCCCCGAAAGCUAUUUAGGUAGCGCCUCGUGAAUUCAUCUCCGGGGGUAGAGCACUGUUUCGGCAAGGGGGUCAUCCCGACUUACCAACCCGAUGCAAACUGCGAAUACCGGAGAAUGUUAUCACGGGAGACACACGGCGGGUGCUAACGUCCGUCGUGAAGAGGGAAACAACCCAGACCGCCAGCUAAGGUCCCAAAGUCAUGGUUAAGUGGGAAACGAUGUGGGAAGGCCCAGACAGCCAGGAUGUUGGCUUAGAAGCAGCCAUCAUUUAAAGAAAGCGUAAUAGCUCACUGGUCGAGUCGGCCUGCGCGGAAGAUGUAACGGGGCUAAACCAUGCACCGAAGCUGCGGCAGCGACACUAUGUGUUGUUGGGUAGGGGAGCGUUCUGUAAGCCUGUGAAGGUGUACUGUGAGGUAUGCUGGAGGUAUCAGAAGUGCGAAUGCUGACAUAAGUAACGAUAAAGCGGGUGAAAAGCCCGCUCGCCGGAAGACCAAGGGUUCCUGUCCAACGUUAAUCGGGGCAGGGUGAGUCGACCCCUAAGGCGAGGCCGAAAGGCGUAGUCGAUGGGAAACAGGUUAAUAUUCCUGUACUUGGUGUUACUGCGAAGGGGGGACGGAGAAGGCUAUGUUGGCCGGGCGACGGUUGUCCCGGUUUAAGCGUGUAGGCUGAUUUUCCAGGCAAAUCCGGAAAAUCAAGGCUGAGGCGUGAUGACGAGGCACUACGGUGCUGAAGCAACAAAUGCCCUGCUUCCAGGAAAAGCCUCUAAGCAUCAGGUAACAUCAAAUCGUACCCCAAACCGACACAGGUGGUCAGGUAGAGAAUACCAAGGCGCUUGAGAGAACUCGGGUGAAGGAACUAGGCAAAAUGGUGCCGUAACUUCGGGAGAAGGCACGCUGAUAUGUAGGUGAAGCGACUUGCUCGUGGAGCUGAAAUCAGUCGAAGAUACCAGCUGGCUGCAACUGUUUAUUAAAAACACAGCACUGUGCAAACACGAAAGUGGACGUAUACGGUGUGACGCCUGCCCGGUGCCGGAAGGUUAAUUGAUGGGGUUAGCGGUAACGCGAAGCUCUUGAUCGAAGCCCCGGUAAACGGCGGCCGUAACUAUAACGGUCCUAAGGUAGCGAAAUUCCUUGUCGGGUAAGUUCCGACCUGCACGAAUGGCGUAAUGAUGGCCAGGCUGUCUCCACCCGAGACUCAGUGAAAUUGAACUCGCUGUGAAGAUGCAGUGUACCCGCGGCAAGACGGAAAGACCCCGUGAACCUUUACUAUAGCUUGACACUGAACAUUGAGCCUUGAUGUGUAGGAUAGGUGGGAGGCUUUGAAGUGUGGACGCCAGUCUGCAUGGAGCCGACCUUGAAAUACCACCCUUUAAUGUUUGAUGUUCUAACGUUGGCCCGUUAUCCGGGUUGCGGACAGUGUCUGGUGGGUAGUUUGACUGGGGCGGUCUCCUCCUAAAGAGUAACGGAGGAGCACGAAGGUUGGCUAAUCCUGGUCGGACAUCAGGAGGUUAGUGCAAUGGCAUAAGCCAGCUUGACUGCGAGCGUGACGGCGCGAGCAGGUGCGAAAGCAGGUCAUAGUGAUCCGGUGGUUCUGAAUGGAAGGGCCAUCGCUCAACGGAUAAAAGGUACUCCGGGGAUAACAGGCUGAUACCGCCCAAGAGUUCAUAUCGACGGCGGUGUUUGGCACCUCGAUGUCGGCUCAUCACAUCCUGGGGCUGAAGUAGGUCCCAAGGGUAUGGCUGUUCGCCAUUUAAAGUGGUACGCGAGCUGGGUUUAGAACGUCGUGAGACAGUUCGGUCCCUAUCUGCCGUGGGCGCUGGAGAACUGAGGGGGGCUGCUCCUAGUACGAGAGGACCGGAGUGGACGCAUCACUGGUGUUCGGGUUGUCAUGCCAAUGGCACUGCCCGGUAGCUAAAUGCGGAAGAGAUAAGUGCUGAAAGCAUCUAAGCACGAAACUUGCCCCGAGAUGAGUUCUCCCUGACUCCUUGAGAGUCCUGAAGGAACGUUGAAGACGACGACGUUGAUAGGCCGGGUGUGUAAGCGCAGCGAUGCGUUGAGCUAACCGGUACUAAUGAACCGUGAGGCUUAACCUU